GGAUUUAAUGGCGAAGAUCCCUCGAUUCAUAAAAAAGGGGGAAAAUCGACGUAGAAGCCCUAGAUUCUGGGAUAGACAGAGGAGGAGAGGGGAGAAGGUAGAGUUUGGAACCGCUAGGGUUUCAUUCUCAGGGAAAGCGAGGAAAGGAGGAAGAGAGUGGAGGAGGAUGAGAAGGGGAGGGAGGGAGAGACACGAGCUCGCCUGAUUUGGCGGCUCAAAUGGCCGCCGAGAGAGCACGAGAACAAGAAGGAGAGAAGGUAGAGUUUGGAACCGCUAGGGUUUCAUUCUGAGGGAAAUAGAGGAGAGGAGGACGAGAAGGGGAGGGAGGGAGAGAGAGAGAGAGAGACACGAGCUCGCUGGAUUUGGGGGAUCGAA
rnacentral:lncRNA from 1 species